AUUGAAAGAUUGAGUUUUGGUGCUACUUGUGUCGGCGGAUCAUCAGUUUUUGAUUUGCUGUUUCUCGUACAACAUCUCUUCUCUUGAGUGAACAUUUCUCUUUUAUAAAAAUAAAUCUUAAUUUUCGUUAUAUUCGUAUCGAAAAAGAAACGGACGUUAAAUGACUUAGCCGCGCUAUUUCGAAACGAAAAAUUUUAAUUCAUCCCAUAAAAACUGCUUUAUAAGAAUUACAAAGAUUUAAGUUUGAAAGAAGCAAAAAUCAGCAAAUAUGUCGAAUUUGAUUCAUCAAAUGGUCAACAACUGCAAUGAGAUUUUGGAUACUAAUAAUAAAAAUAAAGAAAUCAUAAUAGAUACAUGGCCCAUGAUGUAUUCCCCAGGUCCUAUAUUAUGCAUCGUAGGCUGCUAUUUAGCAUUCGUUUUGAAAGUUGGACCAAAAAUGAUGGAGAAGAGGUCCCCUUUUCAAUUGAAUUUCUUGUUACUCGCUUACAACGUGAUCCAAGUGAUAUUCAAUAUCUGGUUAUCACUCAAAGCAUUAGAACCCAGUGUGGUAUCAAUUUUAUUAUUACCUAAAUGCCAAAAUCCAACGUCUCUGAAUUUAAAUACCAAAAACACGAUAUCGUCAGCUGCCUGGUGGUAUUUCAUCGCAAAAAUAAUGGAUCUUCUUGACACGGUAUUCUUCACACUUCGAAAAAAACAAAAUCAAGUGACAUUUCUACAUGUUUACCACCAUACGAUAACCUCAAUAUGCUCAUGGUUGUAUGUCAAAUUCCUACCAGGCCAACAAGGUGCUGUGAUCAUUUUCUUAAAUUCUUUGGUACACGUCAUCAUGUAUACAUAUUAUUUGAUCUCCGCUUUGGGUCCUAAAUACAAAAAAUAUCUUUGGUGGAAGAAAUACAUGACCUGGAUUCAACUGGUGCAAUUUUUCAUAUUGCUCGCUUACGAAUUGACAAUUCUCGUUUUGGGCUGCAAAGUGCCAAAAGCUUUGUCGUGUUUUGUUUUGACCAACUUGGUGAUCUUCAUCUAUUUAUUCAGUGACUUUUAUCGAAAAGCUUAUGCGAAGCAGAAAGUUUAAUUUUUUUGAAGAAUUAUCGAUCAUCGACAUCUUGUCGAUAAAAUGGUAACCGAAUAUGCAACACAACCAUUUAAUAAUAAUAAAAAAGAAAAAAGUGUUUAUGAAAUAAUGAGGAAAAAAAAAAGAAAAAAAUAGAAAAAAGGAAAAUGGAAUUUAUUAGAGUAAAAAAAAAAAGUGGAACGAAGUUUGUAAUAAGAACAUAAAAUACUAAAUGUUGAAGAAGCAGCUGCAGUCAUGAUUCGAGUUUCAACUGUGUUCUAGUGAGACAAUUUCCAGGAAUCGAAAUUUAUACUCUCGAUAUAACGGGUUCCUUCCAAAUUUAGGUCAGUGACAUCCAUUAUUUGAAGAGAGAAUGACAUAAAAGGAGGUUCGUCAAGUGGCCGAAGGAAUAUCUAUAAUGAAGUCUAGAUCAAACUCAAAUCGUUUCUUCGCUUUCGAAACAAGAUGGAUUAAAAUUGAGAAUAAAAGUUGUAUAGAAAAAAAAAAAAACCAUCAUCUAGGUCGAUCUAGAUUACCAUGCAUAUAUUUUGGAGAAUGUUUAGAAUUUUGCAGCAAAGGGAAGACAGAUCCAAUGAUGAUAACAAUCAGGAUUAAGAAAAAUAAGAGACAGUUUAACGCAGAAUCGAAAAAUGCGACAAUUAAUCGAAAAUUAUUUGAUUACAUAUUACAGAAUUAAAUUUUGAAUUAAAUCUGGAAUUGGAAGUGAUAUGCUAUAAUGAAAAAAGGUUAAUAAUUACUGAUAUAUAUUUAUACAUUCGUUAAAUAUAUAAUAACUCAAAAAUGAAUCUAUUUCUUUUUGCUAUAAGAUCAUCAAUCGUAAGGAAAUUUCAAAUUCAUUUGUCUUCAAGAAUUGUUUUAUGCAAGUUAAAGAAAGUUGGCCAUAAUUUAAUAACCUAACCUCCUCGAUUGUGAGAAACGAUAUUACUGCAGUAGAUGAUUAAUCAGAAAUAAUUGAUAUGUAUUUUUAAUUUUCGAAUAUACACUUGAAACAAGAAUAUUUGAUUGUCUUUGUACUAUACUAUGUAUUAUUAAAUAUUUUACAUAAGAUUUUAU